AGAAAAGUAAUUAAGAGCGUAUGGCGGAUGCCUAGGCUCUCAGAGGCGAUGAAGGACGUGAUAAGCUGCGAAAAGUUUUGGAGAGGUGCAAAUAACUUAUGACCCGAAAAUAUCCGAAUGGGGCAACCCACCUGUUUACAGGUAUUCUGCAAAGAAGGCAAACCCGGAGAACUGAAACAUCUAAGUACCCGGAGGAGAAGAAAACAAUAGUGAUUCCCUUAGUAGUGGCGAUCGA
rnacentral:rRNA from 1 species